GAUGAACGCUGGCGGCGUGCCUAAUACAUGCAAGUCGAGCGAACAGAUGAGGAGCUUGCUCCUCUGACGUUAGCGGCGGACGGGUGAGUAACACGUGGAUAACCUACCUAUAAGACUGGGAUAACUUCGGGAAACCGGAGCUAAUACCGGAUAAUGUAUUGAACCGCAUGGUUCAAUAGUGAAAGACGGUUUUGCUGUCACUUAUAGAUGGAUCCGCGCCGCAUUAGCUAGUUGGUAAGGUAACGGCUUACCAAGGCAACGAUGCGUAGCCGACCUGAGAGGGUGAUCGGCCACACUGGAACUGAGACACGGUCCAGACUCCUACGGGAGGCAGCAGUAGGGAAUCUUCCGCAAUGGGCGAAAGCCUGACGGAGCAACGCCGCGUGAGUGAUGAAGGUCUUCGGAUCGUAAAACUCUGUUAUUAGGGAAGAACAAAUGUGUAAGUAACUAUGCACGUCUUGACGGUACCUAAUCAGAAAGCCACGGCUAACUACGUG
rnacentral:rRNA from 1 species